rnacentral:rRNA from 1 species
UGGGGAAUAUUGCACAAUGGGCGCAAGCCUGAUGCAGCCAUGCCGCGUGUGUGAAGAAGGCCUUCGGGUUGUAAAGCACUUUCAGCGAGGAGGAAGGUGGUGAGCUUAAUACGCUCAUCAAUUGACGUUACUCGCAGAAGAAGCACCGGCUAACUCCGUGCCAGCAGCCGCGGUAAUACGGAGGGUGCAAGCGUUAAUCGGAAUUACUGGGCGUAAAGCGCACGCAGGCGGUUUGUUAAGUCAGAUGUGAAAUCCCCGGGCUCAACCUGGGAACUGCAUUUGAAACUGGCAAGCUAGAGUCUCGUAGAGGGGGGUAGAAUUCCAGGUGUAGCGGUGAAAUGCGUAGAGAUCUGGAGGAAUACCGGUGGCGAAGGCGGCCCCCUGGACGAAGACUGACGCUCAGGUGCGAAAGCGUGGGGCAGCAAACAGGAUUAGAUACCCUGGUAGUCCAGCGCUGUAAACGAUGUCGAUUUUGGAGGUUGUGCCCUUGAGGCGUGGCUCCCGGAGCUAACGCGUUAAAGUCGACCGCCUGGGGAGUACGG